rfam:Triticum aestivum genome assembly, contig: Triticum_aestivum_CS42_TGACv1_scaffold_479036_6AL
CAAGUACUCCCUCCGUCCGAAAUUACUUGUCAUCAAAAUGGAUUUGUCUAGAACUAAAAUACAUCUAGAUACAUCCAUUUCAAUGACAAGUAUUUUCGGACAGAGGGAGUACAAG